rnacentral:tRNA from 1 species
UCCCAUGUGGCUCAGUUGGUAGAGCAUGGUGUUUGCAACGCCAGGGUUGUGGGUUUGAUUCCCACGGGGGAA